rnacentral:lncRNA from 1 species
UUUACCCCUAAGCUAUAUAGACGGGGUACUGCUAGCUCUGGUUUCUGGGGUAGGGCGCUAUCUGCAGAACUACGCCCUCGCCUUGCGCCGCCGCGCCGCACACGUGUGUACCUGUACCCCCAAAACAGCAACACGGGGGUGAGACUAUUGUCCAUAGUCCUCAGUGGGUUUAGCCACCCAAGAGAACCAGCUCAACCAACAGGUCUAACGAGGCACUGCAACAUGUUAGUUCAACAAUAUACAACAGAUAUAUAUUCAAUUGAAAUACAUGUCAUGCCUCACGAAAUGCAAGAUGCAAUACCUGUAAUCAUGCAAGUAGGUUACUUUAACGCUACUUAUAUUCUUAAUCAUUCUUUACUCUUGUCAUUUAAUGUUUACUUUUAGCUCUUAGCUAUUCUUUACUUGUAACCUUUCUUUACUUAUCAGCUAUUCUUAUUCCUUAGCCGAUCUUUAUUCUUUACUUAUUCUUUAUUCUUUACACUUUGUUGCACUUUUCCACUGGCCAUUCUUUCCUAAGGUUUCUCUUACCUUAGUUCUCUAUGCCACCCGACUCGGUCUUGAGUCAAUCAAUCGCGGAUAGUCCGCGCACUGUCUAGCUCGAGGUGAAGGAACUCUUACAUGCACCUCAGCUGGCAACAGCUCACCGUACUCCUGUCCUAGCCGUCUGGCGGCGAACGAAUCGCACCUCACCCAACAACGGCCUAGGUCCAUGACUUAGCCACCCGGCGGCGAAAUCGUCGCACAAACGCCACGACAGUGGUUCAGUCAACAGGCGGUAGGAUCCACAAACUGGCUAACCAUCCGGCGGCGAAAUCGUCGCACACACGCCACGACAAUGGUUCAUUAGCCCCUGGGCGGCGAAAUCGUCGCACACACCCGACACCACUUUGGGUGUAUCAGCAAGCUUUGGGAUUCCGGAAUCCAUAUCACAUUUACCAAGGGUUGGUCUUAACCCUAUGGAACUGACCUCUCUAGGUCUAAGCCUUUAGUCAACCUAUAUUACUACAUUAGGUUUAUUGCUUUCCUAUUCUUAGCCUAGGUCCAUUACACUAGGAUUAUCAUUCUUUCCAACCUAGAUUCACUUAACUCUAGGUUAACCACUUUUACCACAAUACCUAGGUUUACUUUAACUCUAGGUUAUUAUCUUUAACUCACAACCUAUGUUAUCUAACAUUAGGUUCAUGUCACACUUGUUCAACCUAUGUUCUUGACACUAGGUUUAAUGCCACUCGAUCUAUAGGUUAAUUCAUGUCCACCUAUACUUGCCCUUUACUUAGCACUCCUACCAUGUACUUGCAUUUAGUAUUUCCAUAUUAUACUUAUCACUUAUACUUAGCAUUCUUAGCUUAUCAUUAUUUGAUGCAUUCACUCUAGCACUCUUACAUUUAGUUCACAUGCAUCAUCACAUAGCAUUUAUAUACUUUACUUCACAUACUCUCUACUUAGCAUUCUUAGCCUUUCAUUAUUCAGUCUAUGUCGUUAUGCUUUAUACUACAACAUUAAGCAUGCUUUCUACUUUAUGUUGGCAUACAAAUAUCCUUUAUGUCAUGUCAUUAACUAACAUCAUUUUACAUGCUUAUACUUAGCAUUCUAUCACAUGCAUCAUCUAUGUUAUUAUUAACAUGCAUCAACAUGAAAGUCUAUCACUUAGACAUAUAGGCGACCUAGUCGCUUCGGUAAACCAACCCACCUUAAUUCGCAUUCCGAUUGCUUGUCGACACUUGCAAUCGGCCUCCCGCGGCACCCAUAUCUGGCACGGCCCGAUACUGCAACUGCGCCUCAACCGUGCUCCGCUUCGCAGCCCCGAAAAUUAGGUCUUCGGUUAUGUGCCACGAUGCCUCAAAUCCAUUUCCAUGAUUUUACGACGUCGCCUCGGCCCUCCCGGCGGACCCGAAGCCUAAACGUCUAUUUCUUUAAUAACUUUGUAACGGCUCGUCGGAUUGCCGAACCGUCUUCGCCAACGCGUUUCGUUACCUAGCAAUUAGGUUUACGGAGGGUCAAAUUAGAUCAAACCCUCAUAUUUUGAAAAUUAGUAUUUUGGAGCCCUAGGUUACAACUAUGCAAGAAAUCACCAAAUUGAUUCAUGAUUUAAGCAUCAUUCAUCUAGAUAGCAUGCUAGGAUUCCUCUAAAUCCAUUUAUAAGCUAUUUAACCCAACCAUUAAUGAUCUACCAUUAAUGGGUAAGGAGCUUACCUCUAAGAGCUUGCUCCAAAAUGAAGAAGAAGAAGAUGAUGGUGUUGAUGAUCCCUCCAAGCUUCUUCUCCACCAAUUUCACCUCUUUUAGGAGAGAUUUAGAGAGAGAAAGAGAGGGUUUUCUCUUCUCCUUCCAUGCGUGUGUGGGUGUGUGUCGUGGGUGUGCACGGGUUGGG